rnacentral:rRNA from 1 species
CCUACGGGAGGCAGCAGUGAGGAAUAUUGGACAAUGGGCGCAAGCCUGAUCCAGCCAUGCCGCGUGCAGGAUGACGGUCCUAUGGAUUGUAAACUGCUUUUGCACAGGAAGAAACAACGCUACGUGUAGCGUCUUGACGGUACUGUGAGAAUAAGGAUCGGCUAACUCCGUGCCAGCAGCCGCGGUAAUACGGAGGAUCCAAGCGUUAUCCGGAAUCAUUGGGUUUAAAGGGUCCGUAGGCGGUUUAGUAAGUCAGUGGUGAAAGCCCAUCGCUCAACGGUGGAACGGCCAUUGAUACUGCUAGACUUGAAUUAUUAGGAAGUAACUAGAAUAUGUAGUGUAGCGGUGAAAUGCUUAGAGAUUACAUGGAAUACCAAUUGCGAAGGCAGGUUACUACUAAUGGAUUGACGCUGAUGGACGAAAGCGUGGGUAGCGAACAGGAUUAGAUACCCUGGUAGUCCACGCCGUAAACGAUGGAUACUAGCUGUUGGGAGNGAUCUCNGUGNGUAGAGAAAGUAGAGUAAGUAGUAACCUACCGUCGGGGUUAGGUUACGUUCGUUCGAAGGAAGUUAGAACGUUACAAUUAGUUAAGUUAGUUACGGCGUUGGAGACGUUGCCGACGGACGACGACGAGGGAGGUAGG